CCUGAUUUCCCUCUCUCUCAUUUCUUGCCUCUUUUUGUUCCUUCCUCUAUCUCUUUCCGUAGAUGCGAAAUCAAAUGCAUUUUUCCCUCUUCAGAGAGAGAUAGAGAGACUGAGUGAGAGAUUCGUUAAUGGCAGUAGAUCUUAAGCAAGAUCUAACUUUUUAGAAGGAAAUCCCUAAUUUUCAAUCUAUCUUUUCGUUGGGAGACAUUUCAAUUUCGUUUCAGUCAGAAGCAUCUCUCUAUCCAUACAUCCGAGUGGAAAUGGCCAUGGAAAUGUCAGAUUUCUUCUCAGAUCUUGCAUUUUCCUGCAAUUGAGGCGUGUUUAAAGCAAAAGACAGACGAAUACCAUGCUUUCCGACGAUUUUCCGUAGGAGUACGCUGCGGAAUUGUUAAUUUCAGGCUUUGUGAAGAAGGCUUCCUUCUACAAAUGUUCAGUCACCUGACAUAAAUGCACCGUAGUUCUGGAAAUGAGAAGGUAUUCCAUUCAUACGAGUUUUUAGACCAUUUCCACCUUUUUGUCUGGAAAAUUCCACACUUGGAUGCUCAAACUACAUUUUGUUGUUGUUCAAUUUAUAUAGUCCUACUUAGUGACAUUGAUAAUUAGUGGAGCAAUUAGCUACUUUGCUGGUGAGUUUUUGUUUUGGUGAAGAUGAGUUCAAUUUAUAUAGUCCUACUUAGUGACAUUGAUAAUUCAUGUUAAUUGCACUUCUCUUGUUUCAGGAUGGAAAAAACGGUACCUUGGAAGACAAGUAGGAUGGCCAUUUAAGAGUUUUCAAGUGGCUAGUAUGGAAGUCCUUCUUGAUCAGCCUGAUGCCCAUGCCUCUGUGAAAGAUUUGGAUUUCAGGUAGUCCGAGCUCUCUGCGUGGAAGUAGUGAUAAUGGGAUCCAGUCUUCAAAUUCUAAUUACUUAAACAGAGUGUAUGCUCGGGAGGAGGUUCACAAUGCUUCACCGGGGAGUUUACAUAGGUCCAUGAUCAAAGCUGCCCAACGGGUGCAGGUGCAGGUCACAAUCCUGCCUUCCCUACCCAAAAUUCAGGUCAGGCGCAACUUGGACCAAGCCAAAACAAUAGUAGAGAUUUUAUCUAAGGGAAGAGAAGAAGAGAAGUCAUGGAGAGUGAAGUUAACCUUCAACGGAUUCAUGAGCCGCCGCCUGCGCUGCUAAUGCCUUCGUUGGAUCUUGACAUGGGCAUUUACUUCAGACAUUUCCAUGAGCCUUUGUACUUGCACUAACAUGAUACCAGAGGCAGAUAACCCACACUUCACUGAUGGUCUCAUGGAGCAUGAGAAGCCAAUGGCACUGGAGCUUGUGUUUUCUCUACGAGUGGAGCACAUGAGGAUUUUUUAUUUAUUUUUAAU